rnacentral:rRNA from 1 species
AUUGAACGCUGGCGGCAGGCCUAACACAUGCAAGUCGAACGAGUGGCGGACGGGUGAGUAAUGUCUGGGAAACUGCCCGAUGGAGGGGGAUAACUACUGGAAACGGUAGCUAAUACCGCAUACCAUCGGAUGUGCCCAGAUGGGAUUGGCUGGUAGGUGAGGUAACGGCUCACCUAGGCGUCGAUCCCUAGCUGGUCUGAGAGGAUGACCAGCCAUACUGGGACUGAGACACGGUCCAGACGCCUACGGGAGGCAGCAGUGGUGAAUGUUGCACAAUGGGCGCAAUCCUGAUGCAGCCAUGCCGCGUGGAUGAAGAAGGCCUUCGGGUUGUAAAGUACCUUCAGCGGGGAGGCUUUACCCGCAGAAGAAGCACCGGCUAACUCCGUGCCAGCAGCCGCGGUAAUUC